rnacentral:lncRNA from 1 species
GGCAGAUGCAGGGGAUGCUGCAGAUGAGAAUUGUGCUAACAGGUGCAGGGGAUGCUGCAGGAUGAGGGUUGCUAACAGGUGCAGGGGAUGCUGCAGGAUGAAGGUUGCUAACAGGUGCAGGGGAUGCUGCAGGAUGAGGGUUGUACUAACAGGUGCAGGGGAUGCUGCAGGAUGAGGGUUGUGCUAACAGGUGCAGGGGAUGCUGCAGGAUGAGGGUUGCUAACAGGUGCAGGGGAUGCUGCAGGAUGAAGGUUGCUAACAGGUGCAGAGGAUGCUGCAGGAUGAGGGUUGUACUAACAGGUGCAGGGGAUGUUGCAGGAUGAGGGUUGUGCUAACAGGUGCAGGGGAUGCUGCAGGAUGAGGGUUGUGCUAACAGGUGAGGGAGAUGCUGUGGGAUGAGGGUUGUGCUAACAGGUGCAGGGGAUGCUGCAGGAUGAGGGAUGUGCUAACGGGCGCAGGAGAUCUAUUCACUGGCUUCAAUGUAUAGGUAAGAGUAAAACUUCCCUGAUCUGAGCACUUCAGGCUUGUUUUG